GUUUUUUUUUUUUUUUUUCUCCUGCAACUAUGCAAAAUUCUGAAUCUGUUGGGCGUGCAUGUUGGUUGGCCUAUGUUCCUUAGGAAACUGCACCGUUGAAUCUGCUUGAAUUACUUCUAAUGCCAUUUUAUACUUUAUUAAUAUGUUGGCUAGAAUGUUUGCAUAUGAAGGCACAAGUAUACCUGAUUAUGUAGGUGGAUAACAAUCUUUUGCAAUCAUAGUGUGGUUUCUUUUUGAGACUUCCAUCCGUUUUCUUAGAAGAAAAAUUUCCUUCCACUGGUAUGUGCAAAGCAGUGUGUCCAAUUUGGGCCACACAAUUUCAUCUGCCCACAGAAUUUUAAAAGUGGAGUUGUCCUGAAACGGUGAGUGUACCUUUUAAGGCCCCUUGGUUUAUGCACUAUUCAUUGUAUCUUAUCUCGUCACGCCGUGCGAGUCAGAAAAAACCAAAAAGAGAAGAAAGGAAAAACACUUGAUGCCAUGCGUAUGUAGAUAUUGUAAUCGAGUGUGGUGGGGGCUGUAUCCUAAUGUAUUUCCUUAAUCAGAUUAGCUAAUUACUACUGAUAGUUGGCAUUUUAUCCUGUUGCUGAUAACUUUUAAUUGUGCUUUUAAAACAUGCAGAGUGGAUCUUUAAUGGAUAGUAAUUUCCACAGCAUGGCUAUGCCUCUGAU
rnacentral:misc_RNA from 1 species